UACCAGCACCCCGAGUGGUCGGGACGUUUAUUGGGCCUAAAGCAUCCGUAGCCGGUUCUACAAGUCUUCCGUUAAAUCCACCUGCUUAACAGAUGGGCUGCGGAAGAUACUAUAGAGCUAGGAGGCGGGAGAGGCAAGCGGUACUCGAUGGGUAGGGGUAAAAUCCGUUGAUCCAUUGAAGACCACCAGUGGCGAAGGCGGCUUGCCAGAACGCGCUCGACGGUGAGGGAUGAAGCUGGGGGAGCAAACCGG
rnacentral:rRNA from 1 species